rnacentral:rRNA from 1 species
AAUAUUUGACAAUGGGGGCAACCCUGCUCCAUCCAUGCCGCGUGUGUGAGGAAGGUCUUCGGAUUGUACAGCACUCUAUGUUGGGAGGAAGGGCUUUAGGUUAAUACCCUGAAGUUUUGCCGUUACCAACAGAAUAAGCACCGGCUAACUCUGUGCCAGCAGCCGCGGUAAUACAGAGGGUGCAAGCGUUAAUCGGAAUUACUGGGCGUAAAGCGCGCGUAGGUGGUUCAGUAAGAUGGGUGUGAAAUCCCCGGGCUUAACCUGGGAACUGCUUUGAUAACUGCUGAGCUAGAGUACGGUAGAGGGUAGUGGAAUUUCCUGUGUAGCGGUGAAAUGCGUAGAUAUAGGAAGGAACACCAGUGGCGAAGGCGACUACCUGGACUGAUACUGACACUGAGGUGCGAAAGCGUGGGGAGCAAACAGG